GAAGUCUUAUGUGUUAAGAACGAUGAGUUUGAGAUGGUUGCUGACUUCUCCUUUUCCAAUCUCUUCAACGAAGUCAUAAGUACUUUCGAAUGAAAACAAAAAGAUAAAUCUAAUCCCAAGUCUUUUGUUUUGAUCCAUAGUAAUGCUUUAAAUCUGAUUUUCAAAAAACUAACCGGUUAGAUCUAACAUUUUUUCUGAUUUGUUCUGCAUGUGAGUCCCGAUUAAUUGUAUGUUUAAUCUGAUAAGAUUGGAAUGAUUUCGAAGUGUCCAAAGAAGAUCUAAAGCAAUCAAAAUCUGAUCUCUGGAAAACAACCAGCCAAAUAAUAUUGGUAAAGAAUCGUAAAACACACAUUUGACAAUUUCUAUAUACUGUUAAAUUUAUUGUUUACAGCUUGAGACAUUCAUUAUAACAAAAAUACUUUUAUUGCAAUAAAACUAAAAAUGGUUAAUAUAUUAUUCUUACCAUCUUUUGUUUGUUUCAGGACUAAUAUAGUUUCAAAGAAUAAUUUACAUGAUACAAAUACAACGGUUAUGGAUUUCAUUCUUCUGUGAAGAACAACAUGACUUUACUAUAAAGGAUAAGUUAUUUCCAGAAACUUUGUCUUCCUUUACAUGUUGUGAAUCAUACUCGAACUAUUAUACGAAGUACACCAGACCAGAGAGAAUGUAAGUUUUUAUACUUUGACUUGAUCGUUUUAAUAAAAUAUUUGUUUGCAGCAUUUGGAAGAUAUGAAGAUUAUUCAAAUAUCAUAUAGUCCUUUGUAACAGAAUAACAGGCUACACAAUUAGGGCCUAUUCAUAUCAUUGAGGAAAAUUAAGGUCAACAUCUAUACUAUGAAAAAAGUAUACAUAUGGGUCUUACAUUCUCAUCGGCUAAGAUGAUUUGCAUUGUUUCACCUUCUUGCUGUUUCCAUGUGUGUAGCACCUUCACAUGCACACCCAUGUUUUCGAAGGCCUUAUAAUCGCAGCAAAAUUCUUAUUAGAAGCCAUAGUGAUUUUGUAAAAUUUGUGGUUUGUCUAAGAAACGAUGAAUACAUAUUUAUAGUGAAGUUAAGGUGUUUAGGAUUUUCGAAAAAGCUCCUAGCAUAUGCUGUAUUUGUAUCUACCCGGUUAUUGAAAGAUCUAAAAUAUAUUAUAUGUCUAAUAUU
rnacentral:lncRNA from 1 species